UUCGCAAUGCCCGAAAGGGUGACGAAGCGACGCCGCGUGUGGGAAGAAGGCCCUAGGGUUGUAAACCACUGUCAGGAGUUAAGAAAUAUAGAGGUGUUAAUAGCGCUUCUAUUUGACGAAGGCUCCAGAGGAAGCCACGGCUAACUCUGUGCCAGCAGCCGCGGUAAUACAGAGGUGCAAGCGUUGUUCGGAAUUAUUGGGCGUAAAGAGCACGUAGGCGGCCCUGCAAGUCAGUUGUGAAAGCCUUCCGCUUAACGGGAGAACGGCAGCUGAUACUACGGGGCUAGAGUACGGGAGGGGAGAGUGGAGCUUCUGGUGGAGCGGGGAAAUGCGUAGAUAUCAUAAGGAACGCCGGCGGCGAAAGCGACUCUCUGGACCUAAACUGACGCUGAUUGUGCUAAAGCUAGGGGAGCAAACGGGAUUAGAUACCCCGGUAGUCCUAGCCGUAUACGAAGGGCACUAAGUAUAGGGGUUUU
rnacentral:rRNA from 1 species